GAGAAUGAAAUAAAAUAUUAGAUAUUUAGCUAUGAAGGUGUGACUUUGCAAAAUGUAAAACUGCUUAAAAGUCUCUGACCAAACUGUGGGCAAUUGAGAUAAAAAGCUUAGAGAAUGGGGAAGGCUUUUUAGCAUGUAGAGAGGGGUGGGGAACCUGAAACUGCUUGAAGUGAUAAAACUUUACGUAACUACUCUAUAAUGGUAAGAAUAGGAGGUAAAACUAAGUGUCUGUUUAGAUAAAACAAACUGCAAAGGAGUGUAUGCGUAUUAACCUGUAACUGUUUGAAGUGAUAAAACUUUACGUAACUACUCCAUAAUGGUAAGAAUAGGAGGUAAAACUAGAUGUCUAUUUAGAUAAGAAAGACUGCAAAAAGAGUGUGUGUAAAGAUAAUUUUGAGCUUGCUACUUUCAAACUGUAUAAAAGGCUAUGUUAUUUCUUGGCUCGGCGGAGUGCACUGGGGAGAACACCUGCCCCUUUGCAUUCCCCGGCCGUAAUAAAAGUGCUUUUCAGAUUGGCAGAGGUUUCUUUGAAUCAAUUUGGCACCCCAGAUGGGACAGAUUUCUGCUCGCCGGUGAGGACCCUCCAGAACCGGGGACCCUCUGCGCGCCCCGGGACGUUACUCCGGUGAGGCUCCCCGGGCUCCGCUGGAUCACCACGGGAGUAGAUGAAGACCCUGUGCACAGCCACAGAUAUCGGGAGAAGUACCACCAGCAAUCUAUGACCAAAUCUACCCGGGGGUCUGGGCUGAUGGGACCCCAGGAAGGGCCAGACACGCUCAACCUGUAACAGUAAGAUUAAAACCUGGGACACGGCCGAUUUAAAAGAUGCCUUUUUCUGCUUGCCUUUGGACCCUAAAAGUCAAAAAUUUUUUGCCUUUGAAUGGGAAAACCCGGAAACAGGAAGACGAUCACAGCUCACAUGGACUGUUCUUCCACAAGGAUUUAAAAACAGUCCAACCCUUUUUGGAGACCAGCUUGCCAAAGAUCUUGAAGAAUGGACUGCACCUUCAGACAGCGGAGUCCUCUUGCAGUAUGUGGAUGAUUUAUUAAUUGCAACCAGCACACAGGAAGAAUGUGAAAACUGGACUGUGAGCUUAUUGAACUUUCAAGGGCUGAAAGGAUAUAAAGUAUCUAAAAACAAAGCCCAGAUUGUCAAGAAAGAAGUUACUUAUCUAGGAUAUGAAAUCUCAGGAGGACAACGUCAACUUGGGCCAGAAAGAAAAGAAGCCAUCUGUAAAAUACCUUUGCCACAAACUUCGAAAGAACUUCGCACAUUUUUGGGAAUGACUGGCUGGUGUAGGCUUUGGAUCUACAAAUAUGGACUAAUAGUCAAACCUCUAUACCAGAUUCUACAAGAUGGAAAUCAACAAUUAACAUGGACUGGAGAAGCUACACAAGCCUUCCAUCAGCUUAAGAAGGAACUGAUGCAGGCACCUGCACUGGGCCUCCCAGAUGUAACUAAACCUUUUUUGCUCUUUUCGCAUGAAAGGCAGGGAAUUGCACUGGGGGUCCUGGCCCAGCAGGUCGGACAAUAUCGCCGAGCAGUGGCAUACUUCUCUAAACAGUUAGAUGAAGUGAGCAAAGGAUGGCCAGGAUGCCUGAGGGCCGUAGCUGCAGUAGUACUGAACAUACAAGAAGCCUGAAAGUUCACAAUGGGACAGAAAAUGACUGUUCUAGUGUCACACGUGGUUUCAGCAGUGCUCGAACAGAAAGGCGGUCACUGGCUCUCGCCCUCCAGGUUUCUCAAAUACCAGGCCACUCUAGUAGAACAAGAUGAUGUUGAAAUCGUCACCACUAAUAUCGUAAAUCCAGCAACAUUUUUAUCAAGUUCUACAACCAUAGGGGAAUCGGUGUAUCAUGAUUGUAUUGAAACUAUUGAAGCAACAUAUUCCUGCGGACCGGACUUGAAAGAUACACCACUGCCCGAGGCAGAAAUGUGGUUCACCGACGGAAGCAGCUAUAUGAAAAAUGGAAUCCGUAAAGCUGGUUAUGCCAUAACAACCACAGAUCACGUCAUUGAAGCACAAGCACUCCCUGCUGGCACCUCUGCACAAAAAGCAGAAAUAAUAGCCCUUACCAGAGCAUUGCAACUAGGAGAAGGAAAGGACAUUAAUAUUUGGACAGACUCAAAGUAUGCCUUCGGGGUAGUUCAUGCUCAUGGAGCAGUGUGGAAAGAAAGAGGGUUACUCACAUCACAAGGAAAACAGAUAAAGCACGCAGAAGAAAUCUUAAAAUUACUUGAAGCUGUCCAGUUACCGAAAAAGCUUGCUAUUAUGCAUUGUAGAGGACAUCAAAAAGGGAAUACAGACCAAGAAAAAGGCAAUCGAUUGGCAGAUCGAGAGGCGAAAAAGGCAGCAGAAAACAGCCAGGUAGAACUUGCCUCCCUAAUUCCUGAUGGCAAAAUUAUAGAGGUAAGCUCUAAUGUAUCAUAUUCAAAGGAGGAUUUAAAAUUAAUAAAAGAUCAGCAAGCUCAACGCAAAGGUAACGUGUACUACUUAGAAACAGGACAAAUAGUGGUACCUGAAAGAGUACUAUGGAAAGUUGUACAGGCAGAACAUAACAAAACUCAUUGGGGGGCAGAUGCAUUACACAAAUAUCUAAGGAAACAAAUUAUAGGACAAAAUUUAUACACUACAAUAAUCCAGGUUACUAAACAAUGCAAGACCUGCCUUCAAAAUAAUCCUCACACAACCAAUAAAAUCGAGAUAGGGACAAUUGGCAAAGAUAAUCUCCCAGGGCAACACUGGCAGAUAGAUUUCUCUGAGUUGCCUAGGAAAGGAGGCUACAGAUACCUGUUGGUUUUGACAGAUACUUUCUCAAAUUGGCCAGAGGCUUUCCCGACUCGAAGCAAUAAGGCUCGAGAAGUUGUCAAGGUACUACUUAAUGAAAUUAUCCCCAGGUUUGGAGUACCUGACAUCAUCUCCUCGGACAGAGGACCACAUUUUGUAGCUAAAAUAAUACAAAGAAUUAGCAGCAUCCUGCAAAUCAAUUGGCAAUUACACACUCCAUAUCGACCACAAGCAAGUGGUCAGGUGGAGAAAAUGAAUCAUUUGAUAAAACAACAAUUGGCAAAAAUCUGUCAAGAAGUAAACCUACAUUGGUACCAAGCAUUACCUCUGGCCUUAUUGCGAAUAAGGGUCAAACCGAAAACUAAAGAAGGGCUGAGCCCUUUUGAAAUGUUGUAUGGAAGACCCUAUGGGAAUUAUUAUCAAGGAGAAGAUCUCACACAGGUUGGAGAAGGAUAUGUACGAGAAUACCUGAUCUCAUUAAGUAAACAAUUGUCAAAAAUUAACAAACAAGUAAUGAGUACUCGCUCAAGAGGAAUAGACCAGCCCUUACAUAACAUUUCCCCUGGGGAAUGGGUGUAUGUUAAAACUUUUUCAGACCAGCCAUUAGAGGAGAAAUGGAAAGGACCAUACCAGGUGCUUCUGACAACCUACACAGCAAUCAAAAUUAAAGAACAACCCACCUGGAUUCAUUAUUCACGAGUAAAGAAGGCACCUCGAGAAACAUGGACGUCAGAACUUGUAGGACCAACCACCCUCAGGUUUACUCGACACUAGCCACUGGAACUCUGAUAAGUAUACUAACUCUGGCUCAGGCCAUUACCUUAGACUGGCCAUGGUCUAGGGCUCACAUUGGAUAUACUGGUAUGUCCGGACAAGACAUUUCCAAUUUAAACCUGGCCACUGUGGUCAUGCACAAAAAUAGACCAUGCUCUGAUUGGGAAAAAAGAAAUGGGCUUAGUACCUUAACGGGAAUAAGUGGGAAAACACAGAUAGGAUGUAGAGGAAUUAACAUACCUGACAAUGAGAAACAAAUAUCCCAAACACAAAUCACUGUAAGAGAACCUAUAAAAGGAAACCUGAUUGGUAAGUCCAUCUGUAUGUCCAAUCAAUGUUGGCACAACUUUACCAUAGAUACACCAGUUUCUGUAAUAUGUCUUUGGGCUACUCUGAAAGGAGACAAAGCACUAUCAAGAAAAUUUAUAAUAGACACCACAACAACAUCACAGACUUCUGCCCCUUUACCAGAUACGCCCUCAGUAUGUACAAAAAGAAAUCACAAUCUUUCCCUUGUAGGACCUUAUGUAAUUAGGCAAUCUAAUGAGCAGAAGUUACUCUUAGACCCUACAUAUUCUCUGAAAAAGGUCCAAGUAAAAAUACAAACAAACAUAUCCUCUAUAAAAGAGGAUUGCCAACCCUUCAUUCUCCAAAGUCUUAAAGGAUGGAAUGCUUGGUUAAAAACUAGAUCCCAUCACGAAAGAGCCCAGAGAGAUCUAAUGGGGUGGUUUGGAUCAGGAUUAGGAGUAUUAAAUUCAAUAGAUCAAGAAAUGUUAAUUAAUAAGCUCAGCACUGUAACCUCUGAUUUGGGAAAGAUGGAAGUACCACUCAGAUCAUCAUUAAUGACUAUAGCUGAAACAGAAUCUCUUACUACAGAUUUGAUGAUCUUGUUAACUGAACACACAUCUAAAGACUUUCAGGUUGUGACUAAUGUCUUUGAAAAAUUACAAAAAGAUGUCUCAGUAGCAAUACAGUGUAUCCAAACUCAGCAAUGGAUACAAUCUGUAUCGGCAGGAAUUAUAAGAGAAGGAACCUCAGGAAUUUUACCUCAAGAGAUAAGAGAGAUCAUAUCCAGACAAGACACCACAAGUAAAUUUGAAAAAGAACAUCAGGCAUGGUGGCAGUUAGUGAACUUCACAUAUAACACAGAGCUGGAGCAGAUAGAGGCAUAUGUUCUUACCAUCCGUGAGGCAAAAGAACAGACCAUAUUUCCUGUCUUAGCAUUAGGAGCAAUACACCGGGACAUUGUAGUUAGACCUAUAGGGCAUAAUGUCUGGGCAAGCUAUGACAAGGACACGGGGAGGUGGCAAACUGUCAACACGAAGGCCUGUAUACCUAGGGAACAACUAGGAUAUGUGUGUGAAAAUGCUGUAAUAGAGAAGGAGGAUUUAUGUUUAGAUACAGAAGACAGUGUAUGUACGUUUGAAAUGUUCCCAAAUACACAGGCACAGUCCCAAGUGUAUUAUGUGGGUAAGGGAUGUGCCUGCAUCAGGACACUUUGCACAAGUAUAACAAUUGAUAAUUGUAAAGAAUUAACUAAUGGUACUAACUUCUGUGUUUGCAAUUUUACUAAAAUAAUAGGAUGUGACUUUAAAUACACUGCUCCUGUGACCACCAUGCAAUUGAUCUCGGAUAGAUAUACGUCAUAUCAUGAAGUGCCUAAACUACAAAUAGGCAUGGACAUUAAUAUCCUCCAGAAAAUGCUCUAUCAUCCGGAUAUUGAACAAAUGAUGGAAAAGGUAAAUGCUACUUCACGUCGCAUGCUGUGGCAAGUGAAACACGACACAACAGAGAUAAAAAACAUCAUUACAGAAGUGACAAAAACUGGAGAACAUCAUUGGUGGAGCAUGUUUUUGGGAUUAACCAAUAGACAUUCACCCACGGCAGCUCAGCUAUUUAACUUCCUGAUUCACCCGAUCUUGGUUUUGAUGCUGGCAGCUCUCCUCCUUACAAUCGUCAAUCUAUGGAUGUGGUGGAAAAUAAGAACUAUAGCACAACAAGUACAUGUGCUCUGGACUGUACAAAAAGUGAUGCAAAAGAAUUUGCAUUAGUUAAAAGAAAAGGGGGAAUUGAAAUAGAGAAUGAAAUAAAAUAUUAGAUAUUUAGCUAUGAAGGUGUGACUUUGCAAAAUGUAAAACUGCUUAAAAGUCUCUGACCGAACUGUGGGCAAUUGAGAUAAAAAGCUUAGAGAAUGGGGAAGGCUUUUUAGCAUGUAGAGAGGGGUGGGGAACCUGAAACUGCUUGAAGUGAUAAAACUUUACGUAACUACUCUAUAAUGGUAAGAAUAGGAGGUAAAACUAAGUGUCUGUUUAGAUAAAACAAACUGCAAAGGAGUGUAUGCGUAUUAACCUGUAACUGUUUGAAGUGAUAAAACUUUACGUAACUACUCCAUAAUGGUAAGAAUAGGAGGUAAAACUAGAUGUCUAUUUAGAUAAGAAAGACUGCGAAAA